UGGUUCGCACGCGGUCGUCGCGAUUCUCCUUUCUUCGAAUUCAAUUCGGUAACUCUUAUUACUUUCGGUGUUCUUAGUGAUUAUUGCUGACUGUUGUGUCUCGUUAAUGAGUUAUCGCUUAUAAGAUGUUCGCGAAAUGCCGUUUACGAUUAAAGGUUUACUGUACUAACCACAUUGGCCGUGCCUUGGAGUCCCAUGAGUUCUGCAUUGUGCAUUCCUUGACUACCCGAUGCAGGGGUAAGUUUGUAAAUAUUAAUCCAUCAUUAUUACAUUUUGCUUUUUAAUCGCGUGUAGUGAAACUAUCGUUAUAGUUUAAAAUUGUCACUAGCCGUCGGAUACAUUUUUGGCCUCGUUGCAGAAAGUUGGUUUUACUAAAUCCAUUCAUCUCACAUUUUUCUGCAAUCUUUAUUCUGUAAUCGCGUUGAUACGUCUAGUAGUUUGACAAUUUAUUACUGUCCGUAAAAUGUAUAUAAUACGCGAUUUUAAUGUUUCCUUUAGAGCAUGGCUGGCCAAUUGCAGACCCGCGGGCCACAAAGUGGCCCGCCAGGAUAUUUGAAUUUGCCCGCCGCAAAACCCAAAGUUGGAACUUUCGUAUGUUUAUAAUAUUUUAUAUAUGAAUGGCCAUAGUCUGUGGCCCGGUGCCGCUGCAAUCUAAAGAUUUUGCCCUCCAGGAAAAUCCAUUGGCCAGCCUUGCUUUAGAGUGUGCGUGCUGACGGCCGGCACUUUGUCUGGAUAUUGCGUCGAAAAUAUAAUCUCAAUAUUGCAGUAAUAUUUAUAAUAGUGUCACCUUCUUCAUUGUUACUUUCUCUUCCUUUAUUUUUAUGCCAUCCCGGGAGAAACAGGUAGCAACUUAAAUUUUCUUGUAGUUUUCUUCUAGUGCUUUAGUAUAUACUUCUAAAUGUAGUGGUAUUGUUGUUGUGUUGCCUUCUCUUGCAUUUUCCUUCACUUUCCAUUGUGAAAAUUGUAACAUUUUUAUUUGACUAAUGUUAUCCUUCGAGAAUUUUGAGUUUUGUUAUUAUAUAUAAUGAUUUUCUUCUUGUAUCACCCUAUAUGUUACAUUUUCCUGCUCCCUUACCAAAACCUUGUAAGUUGAUGAUAUUUUUUUCUUGACCAGACCAUUUUCUUUUUAAAUAUUGUCAUUUUCUUUUGAGAACACCCUAUAUAUUUGUUUUCCUAUUUCCCAUCAAUACUUCACCAAUUUUUUGUUUUCAACUGUUUUCUUCCUUAAACUGUAAAUUUUCUUUUUG